AGUGAACGCUGGCGGUAGGCCUAACACAUGCAAGUCGAACGGCAGCACAGUAAGAGCUUGCUCUUACGGGUGGCGAGUGGCGGACGGGUGAGGAAUACAUCGGAAUCUACUUUUUCGUGGGGGAUAACGUAGGGAAACUUACGCUAAUACCGCAUACGACCUACGGGUGAAAGCAGGGGAUCUUCGGACCUUGCGCGAUUGAAUGAGCCGAUGUCGGAUUAGCUAGUUGGCGGGGUAAAGGCCCACCAAGGCGACGAUCCGUAGCUGGUCUGAGAGGAUGAUCAGCCACACUGGAACGGGGACACGGUCCAGGCUCCUACGGGAGGCCGCAGUGGGGAAUAUUGGACAAUGGGCGCAAGCCUGGUCCAGCCAUACCACGUGGGUGACGAAGGCCUUCGGGUUGUAAAGCCCUUUUGUUGGGAAAGAAAAGCAGCAGGUUAAUACCCCGCUGUUCUGACGGUACCCAAAGAAUAAGCACCGGCUAACUUCGUG
rnacentral:rRNA from 1 species